CCAGACUCAGCCUCCUCAGACAAAAAAUCCCACUCCGUUCCCAGGCCGGAGAGCCUCCUGGGCUGGAAUUGCUCAAGCUUCAGCUCACAGACGAGUCACUGUAUUCAUUUGCUCCACAUCUCACUCUGAGUACUGUGUGUUUCAUCUGCCUUCACUAUCUCACAAUUAUUAUCAACUUGCUGGCUAUAAAAGGCAGGGGCUACAAACACAGUGAGCCAAAUGCAGUGCUUGCUUCCUAUCUGUGGUCCAUUGCAUAGCAGUGUGCUUGGGUGCUGCGUAAGACAAUUACCCCCAACGCCUCCAAAUUCAGAAGAAAGAAUCUUCAGGCCUCUGCUCUUGUGAGAGUAAUUUCUCUUAACACCGACAGUGCAGAAUACAACUACCACCACCUUUCAAUUAUUGAGAGGCAAUCAUCUAAAGCAUUUAACAAGUGAUCCACUUACAGAGCCAAGCUAAGGGAGCUGAAGAGGCCGCCGCCCCAACCCAGGUGUUGAUAAUUAUCUAGCCUUUUGCAAAGCCUCUUCCGUUUCUACUCUGCUCUUUAAGCUAUUUCAUGCCUUGAAGAUGUCUCUACCAGGGAAAAUAAAGAGAUUCAGCUCUUCCCCCACCUCCUGUCUGUCUCCAAGACAGAGUGGGGCUGAUGACUGGAGGUGGGAAGGACUAGAGGAAGACGCCACAAAAUUUAGCAACUGGGCCUGAAAUUCACCGUUCACACCAUCAAACUGGACUAACAGGAAAGAAGAUUAUGUAAGGCUACUCCAUGUGCUACUUUCUCUCGCAACUUUGAGCAAGAAUGUUAGAUCUUUUGCUGGGGGCCUUCGGAAGCCGUGAGGGAGCAUAUCCUGACACCCACAUAGAAGACCUGGUACCUAUGUUUCCACAUCACAAAGCAGGCCAACAAGCACACAAGGCCGCAGACCAAAUUAAGAAUCAUCUGGAUGAGUAAGAAAAGUUUGAAAGUGCCAGUGACGCUGGUACAGUCCGUCACAUCCCGGUAAACAAAGGUCCUGCUGAGCGGCUCCGAGGAGGGCAGUUUGCACUGGCAAGAGUCGA
rnacentral:lncRNA from 1 species